GACGAACGCUGGCGGCGUGCUUAACACAUGCAAGUCGAACGCUGAAGCUCAGCUUUUGUUGGGUGGAUGAGUGGCGAACGGGUGAGUAACACGUGAGUAACCUGCCCCCUUCUUUGGGAUAACGCCCGGAAACGGGUGCUAAUACUGGAUAUUCACUGGUCUUCGCAUGGGGGUUGGUGGAAAGGGUUUUUCUGGUGGGGGAUGGGCUCGCGGCCUAUCAGCUUGUUGGUGGGGUGAUGGCCUACCAAGGCUUUGACGGGUAGCCGGCCUGAGAGGGUGACCGGUCACAUUGGGACUGAGAUACGGCCCAGACUCCUACGGGAGGCAGCAGUGGGGAAUAUUGCACAAUGGGCGCAAGCCUGAUGCAGCGACGCCGCGUGAGGGAUGGAGGCCUUCGGGCUGUGAACCUCUUUCGCUCAUGGUCAAGCCGCAACAAUGGUUGUGGUGAGGGUAGUGGGUAAAGAAGCGCCGGCUAACUACGUG
rnacentral:rRNA from 1 species